CCACAUUGUCGAAAUUCUCACUUCCAGCUUGUGACUCCUGGACAAUUUACUCAGGCACAAGGACCAGCCAGGAGAGCCAGACACAGCCAGGCACUGCCAUGCACUCACAGAUGGUUGGACCGCAGAGCUGCCGAGAGGAGGGCGGUCGAUGAGAGGCAAGGGUCAGCUACUGGACCCAUCAUGAACGCCCACCUCCGCCGCCUCUCCAUCACAGCCGUCCACUAUGCCCGAAGAUGGAGCCUUCUGUUUCAUUCUGGGAGACAGCCCCAGACUGAAAAGGCACCAGAAAGCCCAAAGCGAUAGCCUAAUUAAAAAAAAAAAAGUAAACAAGAAGAGAGGGUGAAGGGGUCCCCAGUGCACUAAACGCUAUUUAUUUAUUUAUUUACUUUUCAAUAUAUAAAAUAAACAGUAAAAAAGAGAAGAGACGGAAGGACAAUGUGUU
rnacentral:lncRNA from 1 species